rnacentral:lncRNA from 10 species
CUUUAGUGCCACGUUUUCCAGCAUCAUCAAACAUCAUCAGGAGGCCUAUGGUUCUCUCCUGUGUUUCCAAAGGAUUUAAUUGGGCUUGUUACUUGGACAUGCCUCUGCUAUGUUACCUGCUGCCCUGUAUUCUGAUGUAUCUGUGUCUGCUCUCGUUCCUGUUAAUCACGGACUUCCUUGAAAGUAGGAUCAUGCCUGCGUCAUGUUCACAUCUCUUACUAUAUCUAACAUGGUGCACAGCUCUUUGUGGAUAUUCUUAUUGGAUGCCUAAAAGACUAACUAAAUUACAUGGAUUGAAAUCAGUGUUCUCAAUAUACAGGAAGAAAACAAGCCUGUAAGAUGAAAUACUUCUACCUGGUUAAUAAAUACAGAAAUCGAUUCUUCCUCCAUUGAAGUCUAUCUUUUCCAAUGGGACCAAUCCACAUGCAGAUGCAAAGGCACUCAUGUUUGCUCAACAUGUAGAAACAAGAAAAUCACACAGAGCAAGAGUGACAGAAAUGUAAGAUGCUAUGGAAUUAUAAAAGAUUAGAUCAACAUAUUAAAUUUUACUCACCCCCAUAAGAGGAUGGGAAAUUUCAAGAUGGGAAAAUUUCUGAGCUGAAUUGGUUUAAUGAAGAUGGAUAGAGUAAGUCUCAACUUUGAGAUUAUAGUCAUAUAUUUUCUGUGAUAGUAAAGUAUCACAUUAUUAAUUUGUUACAGAUAUAACAUGUCAAAAUCAUCCACUAGGAGCUACAUAGAUUAUUUAAUCAUGAUCCAUUAAUAUAAUUAUAUAAUUAACUGGAUUUUUAAUCUGAUAAGUCUGUAAUAAGCCAUGUAAACAGCAGCAAUGAGGAAAUUCUGUAGUCUGCAAGCGCAUUCAUAUUUGCCAAACAAAAAGUAAAUUCUUCAUCUUUCAUGGCUUGUGCUGUUAUCUACAUUCUGUUUCUACAAUAAUUAAAAAUGAAAGAAAGAUAUCACAUUACUUUCUUGUUUGGAUCUUCUCAAUAAUUGGAAAAUAUGUAAUGGUUUUAAUCAGGAGUAAAGUCAUAUUUGUAAUUUUGGAAGAUUGUAAUGUUGACAAAUAUGUAUUAGGAGGGGUUAGACUAAAGUAUAGGGAUAAUAUACGAGACUAUUUCAAUGAAGGAUGAAGAAAGGGCUAAGGAACUGUUAGGAAUUUAGAAAUUGGAAAUUGUUUAAGGGGAGAUCACUAUAACUUGUUAUUUUAUGAGCCACAUGGGUUAAAGGCUAACCUCCACAACAGUAUCACUAAUAGGGUUGACAGAAGGUGGUGCAGAUUUAGUGGAAACAUAGUAUAUUAUUUGACUUAAAGAUUUCCACAAAAAUUACAAAAAUAAAGGAUAAGAUAUGAUAUUGAGCUUCACCAAUCAAAAGUAUAAUAUGUGGACCAGCAGCAUUAGAGUCCCCUGGGAGUUUAUUAGAACUGUAGAAUCUCAAGUUCCACCCUAGAAAUACUGAAAUGGAAUCUGAAUUUUACAAGAUUUCUAGGCCAUUCAUAUUUGGGAAGCCUUGCUAUAGAGAAUGUGUUCAUAUUGCUGUAGAGGGACGUGGCAGAUAUGAACCAGGUGGUCACGAAAGUUCUUCCUUGACCACAGAUUUUGAAGAAACCUAAUAAUAUCCAAGGGCUUGAAUUACAUGAGAGUUCCUCAUUGCUAGUUCUCAGAAAGAGUAUGCUUUUGACAAAUUUUUUACCUAUCUACAACAAAAGUAAAAUGACUUUUAUAAAACAAAUAUAUUACUUUUUUGGUGUUAAAAUGAAAUGGCUUAAUUAUGUUUUAUAAUUGUUAUUUUAAUAAUUUUAUUUGUCCAAAAAUAAAUUGGUAAUCUUAAAACGGUGAAAGAUAAAUUGUGCAAUAUGAUAUCUUUUUUGGUAAAAAUAAACUGUAUGUUUUACAUUUGCAGAAUCAUGUUUGACUAAGAUGUUGUAAAUGAACUUCUUGUAACAAAAAAGCCAUUUGAACACAAAUUACUGAGCAUCACUGGUCGGAGAGAUCAUUUAUCACUUCUUAAUAAAUGAUCAGACAAUGACCUCAAACCUACGUAAGUCUAAAACAGGGCUUUGAGUUGCUGCUAAAGUGACAAAUUUGAAAAUCUGAUUCACUGUAAUGAAGAUUGAAAACAUAGGUACAAAAACUGAAUGUGAGAAACUGAGUGACUAGCCCGCUUAUCCAAGACCCUUAAGAGGUCUGUGGUUAUCUGAAGUUAAUCGUGGUCUCUGGUUAUCGGUAAAGGCAUAAAUCAGCUCUCUUUAAAAUAGCUUUCCUAAACUAGGCACAAGUGAUUUUUCAGAUUAAGAUUCAGCAGAAAGCUCAUAAUUUAAGAUAGUACAAAGCAAGAGCUUGUAUGUGGAGAAUUAAUAAAUAAGAAAUGUAGUCACCACAACAACUGUAGUUAUUGGAGUUUUCAGAAUGAGAAUAUAGCAAAAUUUUCUAUGAAAUAUAAAAAGACAGAAAAUUUAAUAUAAGAUAAAUAUAUAAUAAAAACUAUCUGAAAAGAAAAGAGAUUUGGGGAAAAAUUAGAACUUCUACGUAUGAAAAACAUAACUAUUAAAAGCAUACUACAUGUUAAACUGAUGAUUAAAUGCAGUUGAGAAGAUAAUUCAUGAGAUGGAAAAUACAAUUGAACAAAUUAACCCUUAGGGAAUAAAAAUAAAAAUAAAGAAAUUAAAGUAUAUACAAAAAAAUCUGGACAAUAUCAAAUAAGAUAGAAUAAGAAGGUUGAGCAUUCAUCUAAUAAGAAGCUCGUAGGAAGAGACAGAAUGAAUGAGAUAUACUAUUCAAAGAUACAAUGAGUACAAAUUUUUCAAAAAUUUUCUUGGAAUUUUAAUGAAUAUCAAGCAGAAUAAAACAAAUAAAAUCUUAUGUGAACAUAUUUUGGAGAAAUUUCUAAAGAACAAAUGCAAAGACAAAAACUUAAAAGACUCAGAUAAAAACAUUGAGAGUGAUAAACUUACUAUAACUAGAGAGAUAUAUAGAUGAUAGAUGAUAGAUAGAUAGAGAUGGAUGAUAGAAUGGAAUGACAAUUUAGAGAUUUUAGAAACGUUAAAAAAUGUUAAGUAAAAAUCACUGCCAACAUAAUAUUGUAAACUCGAGAAAAUACAAGAGUGAAAAGCAGAUUUUACAGAUAAAGGAGAGAAAGAGAAAGAUUGCUGAAAAUAGAAUUAUUCAAAGAAUUUUUACAAAAUGCUCUGUAAGAAGAAAAAUCAAGAAAUAUAGUCUUAAUUACAGAAAAUAAUAUAAAUAAAUGCAACCUUAAAUAUGAACAUGCAUAAAUACUAACAUUCUUUCUUGCAAAGAAAAAAAACAACUAAUUUUCUUCCAGGUUUUCAGUUUUGGGUUUGACAUUUAAAACUUUAAUCCAUCUUGAGUUAAAUUUUAUAUGGUUUAAAGAAGGGGUCCAGUUUCAAUCUUCUGCAUAUGGCUAGCCAGUUAUCCCAGCAUACCAUUUAUUGAAUAGGGAAUCCUUUACCUAUUGCUUGUUUUUGUCAGGUUUGUUGAAGAUCAGAAAAUUGUAGGUGUGCAGUCUUAUUUCUGGGUGCUCUAUUCUGUUCCAUUGGUCAAUGUGUCUGUUUUUGUAUCAGUACCAUGCUGUUUGGGUUACUGUAGCCCUGGAGUAUAGCUUGAAGGAGAUCAUUAUCCCUAGCAAACUAACACAGGAACAGAAAACCAAAUACUGCAUGUUAUCACUAAUAAGUGGGAGCUUAAUGAUGGGAACACAUGGACACAUAGAAAGGAACAACAGACACUGGGCCUUUCAGAGGGAGGAAAGAGGGAGAGGAUAAGGAAAAAUAACUAAUGGGUCCUCGGCUUAAUACUUGGGUAAUGAAAUAAUCUGUACAACAAACUCUCAUGAAACAAGUUUACCUAUGAAACAAACCUGCGUUGUACCCCUAAACUUGAAAUAAAAUUUAUAAACAAAUAAACAAAAAGAAAUGAAUGAAAAGAGAAAAAAAAUACUGAGUAAAAAUAAACAGUAGGUGUUUUUAAGGAAUGAGAUUUUUUGUGUUUUUUUCCGUCUUUACAUUUGUUAUUAUUUAAACACUUCCCAAUGAACAUGCACUACUUGUGUAAUAAAUGUAACUAUUAUUCACAUUUAGUUGACUAUGUUUUAAAACUAACCCAGAGUUUAAUUUUGAUAAUGAUUUUUAAAAGGGAAAAUAACAUAAACUUUUUUCUCUCCUCUUUUCUACUGUGAGAGUGAGCAGUAUUUAUCACACAUACACACACGUCAUAUCUGAAUUCCUCAAAAUGUUAAACAAGUUAUUGCUCUAAAAUUGAUAAGAAAUACAUCAAUCUGUGUAUUUGCUGAUAUAUAUAGUGUAUAAUUUUAAAAUUAUUUCUAUAUUUUAUUCACGUGAAAUUUCUUGAUUCAGUUUAAACUGUUAGUUUUAUGAAAUAUAAUCCACAUCCAUCCUUUUAACUACAAUCACCUGUAUGGGCAACAAUGCAUGUAAGCUUAAUGAGAAACGAGUAUGCAUCCAUACCUGUAGGGGUCAGUUAUUAUUUGCUAUUGUACUCUUUUAUUCAAUACACAAUAAUUUUGUCUAGGAAGGCACACUGAAAAUUUAUAAAAUUUCUACUGAAAAGUGUCUAUUUUACUUACAUCACCAUUUUAGAUUUUCUUUGUUCUCUUUCUUUGCAAUUGAUAACAAAAAAAUUACAAUCAAGGCAUAUGAUAUAUGUUUUUUUCUUCUGUUUUUUGGAAUUAUUUUUCCCCACCUCCAGUAUUACAUUAACUCUAACAUAUACACAGAUAUAUACAGCCAUAGCUGGCUUUGAGCUGGGGAAGGUGUCUACCCUGUCCAUCUCCUUCAUCUAGAAUUCUCAUUUGUCAUACAACCGUCAUCGUCUUUGUUCCAUUAAUUGUUUGAAAGAGAUAAUGUCACAAGAUCUCAGAAUCAAGCUACUUUGUCAAUCUUCCUUUAUCUUAUACAUUUGCCUUCUCUCAGAAACAGAAUUUUAAAAUAAUAACAAGACAGCAAAAACUUUUUCUUUAUCCAGUAAUAGAAUUGGCAGUUUCUAUAAUGAAGGGAAUAUUUUCAGAGGAGGAAAUAUGAGGCCAUGCUACCAAUCAAAAUAGCUAAUAAUUAUAUGUAUAUAUGUCUGUAUAAAAUAUAAUUUCAAAUUGUGUGUUUUGGGGAAAUGCUGAGUUUUAAACAGUUUUAAGUUAUAUGCCUAGGCAUAUAAUAAAAAUGUAUCAAUUGAAUACUCAAUAUAAUUUUAGCUCAUGAAAAAUUGUGUUAUAACUGUGGUAACUGUAAAUAAGUUUUCUGCAAGUUAAACAGAGCAAUGAUAUUCCUUAUGUUCCAGUUAGUAGUGCUGUGAACAAGAGAAAGAUUUCUAGUGCAAUUGAAAAUGCUGAAAACAUUUUCAAAAAAUAUUGUUUGUUGUAUUCAGUUUGUUAUAGCAUUAAUAAAUUUUGCUAUUAUCCAACUUCUCUAAAGUACUUUAAAAAUUUCUAUUUCACUAUUUUAAAAAUAUUGUAACAUCUUCUAGUCUCAAGUAUAAAUUAGUAUAAAUUGUAUGUCAGAAAGCAUUGUCUGUCUCUCACUCUGUGUCUAUGUGCCUAAAUAUAUGUAGAUUUCACUCCAUCUCACUAUGCUACACAUAUACAAGAACAUGUAUAUAUUGAUAGAAAGAGAAAAGUACAUUCCUUCAAGUACAAUUAAAUGACUGGCUAUACUUCCUUGGAAGGGUGACUUGCUAACAUUUCCAAGGUUAGAUUUAUAGAUUUGCAAUGAUUUAAUGCAUAAAGUGCAUUUCCUGGAAAAAUUCAAUUAAUUCCAAUAUUCUCAAAAUCCUUCUUUCUGAGACUUAACAUGUAAAUUUUUUCAUGUUGCCAGUUUUUUAAAUAAAAUAAUAAAAGUUAGCUGCAAAUAAAAUGUAUAUUAAAGAUUGUUGGGUAAUUUUUGUAUGCUAAUAUGCAUUGCAGUUCUUAUUUUUCAAACAAAACAUAUUUAGACUCAAACAUACCUGAUAUUAAAUUUUAAACGUACAUUAUCUCUAAAAAUAAAACAAAAACAAAUUUCAAAUAUAUCAACAACAUCAUAUAUAAAAUACUCAGCUUUCAAAGGCUAUUUUGGGGGGAGGAGCCAAGAUGGCCGAAUAGGAACAGCUCGGUCUACAGCUCCAAGCGUGAGCGACGCAGAAGAUGGGUGAUUUCUGCAUUUCCAUCUGAGGUACCGGGUUCAUCUCACUAGGGAGUGCCAGACAGUGGGCGCAGGUCAGUGGGUGCGCCGUGCGCGAGCCGAAGC